UUUCCUUCCGCACAAGUACCUGCCCAUACAUAAUGAGCUACACUCCAGAAUUCAUUAUUUUGAGAUUCAUUUGGGCUAAAAAUAAACUACCCUCUAAGCGGCUGUCUUUCAUCUGUUCCUACAGCUGGCUUGAUUUGAUUUACUCAUAUUCAGAGAGGCACCGAUGGAGCAACAAUUCUGCUAAGCAUGAGGAGUACAAAUCAAGCUAAUUUUGGAUUGUCCGACGUUAUCUGUUUGGGACAGGUUUCUAGAGGAGAAAAAGACGGCCCAGAAAAAUAAAGCAACCAAGCAAGACUCCACGUCAGAUCUGAGUCCUCACCACUGUUAUGGGCUUUCCUAUGGAAAACAAACAAACGAAGACAUUAAGGAGAAGAGAAAAUUAUCAGUUGGCUAAGGAAAGCAUACCAAAAUGAGUUUCACUUCAGUUAACGUACGUCUCUUACAGAGUCAUCCAUUCACCAAACACGGCAGUCACACACAUAUGCUCAGCCCUACAACUGGCCCCAGAAACAUAAUACCAACUGGCCUCAAGAAGCCAGCAACCUAGCAGGGGCUACAAACAGACCAUAAAUAACUAUGCACAACGUGUCUGUUGUUUUUCAGGAACUUGGAAUUAGUUCUUGCCCAGUUCAGACCGGCUGAAACCACUCACCAUUCAACUGGGCCUGCGUGAGUGUCCAAUGGAUGACCUUUUGAUGUCAGAGGGCCAAAACCUCCACCCUCAGAACAUGUGAACUCCAAUAUUUUUUGAACAUGUGUCCUAUGAAGAGCCAUGAAGCUCGACUACAUUUGCACAGACCGCCAAUUACCUCCCUCUUCUUACCUUCAGUCACCUCUCCCCACGCCUCAGACCACCCUGCCUCUUUAUCCCAUGAAUAGCCCUAAGCCCUAUCUUCAGGGAGGCAGAUUUGAGAUUUGUUCUCCCUUCACCUUGCU